AAUGGGCGCAAAGAAUGCAUUUCCUCCAAAUAGGAACAGCACCAUGUACGACUAUUCCGAUAGCCUACAGAGGUACCGUGAGCUACGCAAUAUCAGUCACGCUGCAUCCUUCGCAGCAUCUCGCUCAUCUGAAUCAUAUGAGCGGUUGAAGCGCGUUCUAGAGGAUGAAGCUGCUAUGAACUUGCCAAAUGGAGGAGAUAACGGAAGCAAGAGGUAUGGUCCGGUGCUGCCACAAGCCCCGGAUGUUGAUUCUAUAGCGUUCAGUAAUGUGUUGGACCCCUUGCGUGUGCCUGGAAGAGGGGCCCCGAAGAAAAAUUUAAAGUCAAUUUCAAAUAAUAAAAAAACUAAGGUCAAAUGUAGCCUGUGCAAGGGUGAGGGUCACAAUCGGCGAACAUGCUCCAUGAGAAAAGAGGAAUCAAAGCUCCCUGAAGAUGUGCUGGAUAUAUGAUCACCUUAUGAUUUGUUGCUCCCUGAAGUCAAAUCAAUAUUGCAUUACUGUUUCAGGACCUGCUGUUUCAAAGUAUUGUGCGAGACACUUACACAUGACAUGAAAGUUUUCGUGAUAAUCUCCAAACUGCAGUUGAGAGAACGUUCUUAAGGUUUUCAGACUUUUUUAGUUCCUGAAUUCAUGAAUUAUAUAUUUUUAUAUGGCAUAAGUUAUUUUCCUCCAUUACUAGAGUGUCCAUGACAAAGCACCAACAUUACAAGAGCUGCUGCGGAACAGGCUGCUGCCACUCGAGCUGCUAGUACUUCCGCACCGUCCAGCCCCAGCUUCCUAGCCAGACCCAAGACCGAGAGACCCAAAAGGUCCAAGAGCUCAGAGCUUUGAGUUUGUUUUCUCAGGAAAAGAUGAGCUUGGUUACCCUGGUUCUUUCAUGUGGUGCAUCUUAUCCCCCACAGUUUGGAUUCGUUUUAUCAGGACAAGAUGAACUUGAUUUUGUUUUUGUGUAGGAUGAUUGCCAAUGAGAGUAGCUUGUCGGUCUAGGCAUUGACGAUGGAAUUUUUGCCUGUGAACCAUAUAUGUUUAGUUUAUCACAGCGAUAUUCUUGUUUUCUACGGCCUGGAGGAUGCUUAAUGUCCUAGUACUGUUUUUUUUGAAUGGAUAUUACGAACAGAACUUGUACAUGCAUUUUGUGUGUCUUUGAGCUUUCAU